rnacentral:rRNA from 1 species
GACGAACGCUGGCGGCGUGCUUAACACAUGCAAGUCGAACGGAAAGGCCCUGCUUUUGUGGGGUGCUCGAGUGGCGAUCGGGUGAGUAACACGUGAGUAACCUGCCCUUGACUUUGGGAUAACUUCAGGAAACUGGGGCUAAUACCGGAUAGGAGCUCCUGCUGCAUGGUGGGGGUUGGAAAGUUUCGGCGGUUGGGGAUGGACUCGCGGCUUAUCAGCUUGUUGGUGGGGUAGUGGCUUACCAAGGCUUUGACGGGUGGCCGGCCUGAGAGGGUGACCGGCCACAUUGGGACUGAGAUACGGCCCAGACUCCUACGGGAGGCAGCAGUGGGGAAUAUUGCACAAUGGGCGGAAGCCUGAUGCAGCAACGCCGCGUGCGGGAUGACGGCCUUCGGGUUGUAAACCGCUUUCGCCUGUGACGAAGCGUGAGUGACGGUAAUGGGUAAAGAAGCACCGGCUAACUACGUG